rnacentral:lncRNA from 1 species
ACGUGGUGCCCCGUGCCGGCCCGGCCAGCUACUCUCGCGGUGGGCGCGCGCGUCGGGGCGGCGGGGUGUGGGCCCGGAGGCCGUGGGCUCCUUCCCGACCAGCCCCCGCAGCUGUCUGACAACCUGUCGACACGGGUUUACAGCUGUCUGACACCGGGUUUGCAGUUUCGCGGCCGAGGUGUGUCCCCUUUUUAACAAAAACAACUUGGCGCCUGCUUUUCUACUGUUUGGGCAGCGGGGAAGGGGCCGGCGGCCUGGACGCUGGUGACAGCGAGGGGGGAGCGGCCUCUCCCCCGAGUCCCGCGCGGCCGGGGCCUCCAGGGGACAUCUUUGGCAGAAGUGCACCCGGACGCUCUCCGCGAGCCACUGAACCGGCGUGGCGUGACACCCCCGACUCCAGAUGCGGGUUCCCGUGGGCCCCUACUGGGUAGUAACCGAUCGUCUGGCAAAUCCCGCGGAGAAGUCGCCAGCUCGGGGGAAGCAGGCGCAGUCGGCGCCGCGGGUUCUCGGAGGGAGGGGUGGGGGAGACGCGGGGGGAGGGGCUUUCUCUUCACCCAGAAAGCCCCCUGGCAGCCGGAGGGAAACAUCCCCCGCGCCCCCGCGAAGGGGGAAGACGGUGUGGCCUGGACGCCCGGUUUGUCCACCAGGUGUGCAGAGGCAGACAGGAAACUUGUGUGGAACGCGCGAACCCGAGUCGGCGCCGCCGCCAGACCGGCAACGGAGCGGCCUCUUGGGUCCAAGUCCCGCGUCCCUCUUCUCCCUGCGUCUCCCCUCUCCAUCCUCAGCCUCGUCGGGCUACAGGACGCGGCCAGGCGCGGCGCACUUGAGAUGGGCUCCGUUUCGCCGCGGCCCUGGCCGUGCGGCUCCCGGGAGAAGAUGCCAAGUGCACGGGCCUCCUCGCCUCCCUGAGCCUGGGAAGGCGCUGGCAGGCCACUUCUGCGCCUCGUGGCUGGAGAGCUCCGGACGGUGCCGUGGGGAACCGGGUACCAGUCCCGGCUCCCGGGGCCACUUUGCGAACCACCUCCUACGCAGAGACGGGGCCGGGAGUUCACCCCGCUGCGGCUCUCCAGCACACCGGACUCCGCGGGAAUUUCAGCAGCGCACUCUGGCGUCUUCUCGGCUUUAGGCCGGGUUGGGGCUACGGGAUGAAGGCGGCCAUCGGGCCAGAGUCGGCAUGCUGUUCUGCUGGUGGUUUGAGCCACCCGUAUCCUGGACACCGGCCAGGCGGUCCCUUCACCCCCUGCCUCGCUUCCCUCUCUUCACGGAGCCUCGAGGCCCAGGGACUUCAGCAGCAUCAGGAGGGGCUCCGGUUUUCCGGGCCUGAGGACAGACACUGAGACAUCGCCUAUAAUUAGCAACAAUAAUGCCCGUGAUGGUAGUAAUUACUAAUAACCAGCUCCGACAUCGGGCUUGAUUUUUCCCUGCUCUGAGUCAGAUUGUCUUGCUAGUCAUGCUGCUUCCCGCGCUCAAUUCGCCCCUCCACACUCCAGGAUCCGCCUACAACCUCCAGGGUUCCUUUCCUGCUUUUACAUAGAUUCCGGGCUGGGUUUGUGGGGACGCCGAGGGUUGGUGGGGAGUGGAUUCUUGGUGACACAAAUCCGGGAAGCCCCUAACUGCAGCUUUUUCCUGUUCCCCAGCCUACCACCAGACACCUUCUAACCCUAAGACAGAUUUCCGAUCUUCAACCUCCUCUCCUCUAUACCCAAAACAAAUCCAUCCAUUGCCUGUGACUCACUGUGUGAGAAGUGGGCCAGUCCCACCCACCCCUGUCCUGUUCAGCAAACUACAGUGUCACAUUUCAGGUUGACAGGGGAGAUACGCCCUCUUGAGUGACCUGGAGAAUGAGGUGGGAUGUAAGUCCAGGGACACUUCUCAGCCUUGGGAUUCAGCUACAGCUUAUCUGCCUCCAUCCAACCCACUGAGCACCACCGCCCACCCCACCCGCAAGCCUCAGGUCUCUCUGCAGCUGGCAGAGCUCUGUGGGGAGGCAGGAAUAGGGGAGUGGAGGCUUCAUCCUAACUCAACCAGCCCACUCCUCUGUGCCCCGGCUGCAUCACCUCCAUUGGCAUCACAUCACAAAGUGAUUGCAGGCUCCUCAAAACACCAGGGAGCUGGGUGGGGAGGAGCUGGGUGGGGAGGACCUGGCUGGGCCCCACCUGGAGACUCCCCUGUGAAUCCUGCCUGAGGACUGCACAGUUCCUGGGGAAGCGGCACUAGCAAAGCUGGGUAACUUGCUCCCUGGAGAGCCCUGCAAAGGUGCAGAAGGGGAGAUUGUGGUCUAUUCUCUGCCCAAGGCCAGGGCCUGAGGCUGCACUCCAGGUCCCUCGCCUAAAACCAAUUCUAGGAAGUCCUUUCUAGGAAGCUCUAGCAGAGCCUGGCAGGCCCUGACUCACCUCCUCUCUUCUUUCUCCUUGGCCCUUGUCCCCAAAACUUUCACCUAGGAUACUAGGAAGCAGGGUAGACUGAGAGAAAGAGAGAGAGAAUUGCCACCAAAGCAUCCCAUCAGAGAGGGGGAGGGGCGGAGAAGGAGCUAGAAUCUCCUGGCUCAGCCCCUCCUGGUAGAGUUUCCUCCCACUCGUUCUGCCACUCAUUUUCAGCAGCAAAUGUUUCAGUGGGGCCCAGGGCUUCAUGGCCUCAGAUGCUGGAGCAGGCAGAAGGGCUGUGCGUCUGGAAUCCGUGGGCCUGAUUUGAACGUCCUUUUAAAAAUGUCGUGAGAAGGUCUAAAACUUUCCCUCAAAGAGACUGCCCCUGCCGCUGCCCGGACUCAGCAUCACUGGCAUCUAGGACCAUCCCUCUGGUGGCCCUAGGGGUGCCAGGCAAAGGCGAUGGACAUUGGAAUGGGAGGUUGUGUGGUUCCCUCUGCUUGGCCUUCGAAACCGACGCCCCAGCUGUGAGGCGCUGGACCUCUGAGGCAGGAGAGAGCCACUUUGUUGGCCCCUCAGCCACUUUUCCUGCCUCCAAAGGGGGUGGCUGAGGCAGGCCCUGCCGCUGCUCCGGAAGUUGCUCCUGGCGGAGCUGGCCGCACCCGGUGGCUGCCCCCUGGUCACUGUGCCAGAGACAAAGACGAGGAGCCUGACAAAACCAGGUCUAGGGGUCGCUGCGCAGCGGAAUCGGAGCUCCUCCUGCUUAGCGCCGGGGAUCCAGUCCGGAAGCCCUUGGGCCCCAGUGCUCCGGGGACCCAAGGCACGUGGCCCAGAAGGCUGGCAAGACCCCGCGAAGCUCGGCAAUGGGGGUUCGCUGGUCUUGAAGCUCUGCAGUCCGGGGGUCGCUAAGGAAGAGGAGGAUGCUCGUGGGGACGCAUCACUCCCGGAAGCCGUCUGUGGGACCAGCCUUUGGCGCCGAGAACCAGGCGACACAGACCUGCCGCGGGAUGCAACGGGUGGCGCGGCCCUGGCCUCCUGCCUUCACAAUGGCCACUGUCAGCUCCAGAUGGCGGGGCUCUGCGCUGGGCCGCGGCUCGGUGGCGACGGAGGCGGCCUGACCUGGCGCCGCGCCCCGACUCGCGCGCAGACUUAGGAGUCUGCUUAAAAACGCACUAGGACUUCGCACCGUCCCUCAGCAGCAGCUGGGAGGCCACCCAAGUCGGCGACAUUGAGGCAAUAGUCAGACAGUCCUCAGCUGUUGAGACCCCCGGUGGGUCCGGCCGCUGCGACUCGAUGGUUCCCUAGGCUCCGACCCCUGUGUCCAGUCUGCGCUUUCCUGCCACGCCAGGCAGGGACCGGUGGCCCCUGGGGACCAAGAAUAGUCUACAAUGAGCGCCCCGAGGGUGCAGGGCUGCAGGGACCCAGUGGCGAGCGGAGCUGAGUUGGGCAGGCGGGAGGAGUCGACUCGAGCCGCUCCAAGGAAACCCCAGAAGGAAACGCCCAGAAGCGAAGGACGCAGGACGGUCGCAGGCUGCGGGGAGUGCCCCCCGCGGCAAGCAUCGCGGAACCAGGUCCUCAGCAGCGUGGGGACACCACCCGGGAACGCGGCGGGCGGACCAAGGGCGACCCAGGCCCUAAAGCUGCGGCACUGGGCCCGUAUUUCCCACAAACGCAGGGCAGAGGAAUGGACCGCAGUGGCCUGGCCUGGAGUGCCGCUACGACGCCGUCCCCAGUGUCGAAGGAAGUGAAUUACAUGCGUGUGCACACACGUAAAUAUUUUAUAAACCUCCCCUUAAUUAACCAGAUCAUUUCCAUUAUGCCUCCAAUAUGAACAACAGCAGCGGUGUGAGAGUUCUCAGGGCUUCUUAUUUGAUGUCACCAGACGGUUGCUCGGGGGCAGAGGCACCAUCGCCGUGCCAGCUGCACUUGUAUUUAUUUGUUUUUCUGCCUUGUUCCUGUAGGGCUCCAUUAUGCGGUUUUUAAUUAGUUUGUGUUUGUAUUUCACCCGUCCCAAAUCAAUGCCAUCCCGAAGCAAGGCGAUGUAAAUUCUCUCAGUACAGGUGUAGCUGCCUGCGCGGGUACACCGGCAAACGCGUGUCUGACAAAUGAAAGCGGGGCCGCUGCGCAGCCGACUGUCAGCUCUCGGCAGCGGAGAGGCGCGGAUCAAAGCCAGCGGGACUUCUGCGCCCCCGUGAGCGCCGUCGUGGCUGCGGCUCCUAAUGUCAUUAGAGGAGGCCGGGCUGCGCACGGCGUGAGGAACAAAGUGACUUUUCAUUUUGCUCAGGUCCUCUGGUCUUUGGGCCAGCGCUGGCCUCAGAAUCGCCUCCCGCUUGGGGCCUAUCGGAUGCAGCUGAAACCGCAGUGGCUCCCGCCAGGAUCCCUGGCUGUGCGCACCCGCACCCGCACCCGCACCCGCAGUGACCCAGAGCCCUGGGAUCACUGUGGCUUCCCAACGGGUCCCGCUAACCUUAACCCGCAGCCUUAAGCUGAAACUGCCCUGGAAUCUCUAGACAGGAGACAUCCCCUCUCCGUGUUGUGUUUGCAUCUCCGCCUUCUUGAAAUGACCUCUGUGGAGCGCGUGUGUAUCUGUUCUUCCAGCCAUGGGGAAUUCUUUUAAAGCUUUCUUUUUUUGUCAGGAGCAAGAGAUAGCUCAUCUUUAACUAGGCCACAUAGAAAUUAUGAUUCAACAGCAGUGUAUAUUUAAUUAGAGUAAUCUCACUUGAAUUUAAUUACCUAAUGAAUUAUUUGUUUAAAAGGUAGAACGUCUUGUUUGCGAAGUACCAUGCAGACCUCCGAUAAGAAUUUCUGUUACGAGGACGUUACAGUUUAAGAGCAGGCAUGUGUAAGGUUUCUAUUUUAACUCUUUGAGUAUGUGACUGUUACUGUACACUCCAACAAAAACUAAGAUGGUGGGUACAGUCUGGUGGGUAGAGUCCGGAGGGCAGUGGGCAUGACCCUGGCCACACAGAGGUGCGCUCCUGUUAUGUACACGUGUGUGCCCAAGUCGCUUUGGAAAUUAAUAUCCUUUGACUGUCAUGUGAGUCGAGUUUAUCUUAAAACUUAUUUCAUGUUGCUUUCAGUGCCAUUUUUUCCCUCCUGGUGCAAGUCAGGACAGUUCUCUACUAGUGAACUCAUUUUAUGAAAGUGUUUAAAACAAAAUAAUGCAUCCUUCAGAAGACUCCAGUCAAGCCACCGAGUCCCACGCACUCCUUGAGCCUCUCCCAUCCUAGCUCCUCUUGAUCCCUGAGGCAUUCACACUACCAACAAGAAGUCUGUCAGGGAGUUGUUGUUUUGUUUGUUUGUUUGUUGUUUGUUUUAACUUACAGCAAUGGGAGGUACCACAUCCCAGACUUUGACCUAAACUCUUAAGUCUUAAACUGUGGAGCAACCUCAUUUCCUCUUGGUUUCCAAAAGCAAGAACCACUAACUCCAAGCCAUGACAACUUUUGAGAGGCUCCAAAGGUAAUUUGUCUCCACACAAUGCCAACAACUGGUGCAUCUAAUGCAACUUUAAGAAUUUUCUAUCACUGCUGCAUGAUGAAAUGCCAGCAGGGAAACUUACAUAGGGGUUUAGGGAGGGGGCAGAGAGCAUUUCACCCUCUUCCUGAAAAGAAGAUAGGAAAUAAGAAGAACUCAAAUCAACUUGGUUGAAUUCCACUGUCAUUUUCAUUAAUAUUUCAAUAAUCAAAUAAUUUUUUUAAUUGUAAGCUCAUGAACUAUUGUCAGAUAAAUAUCAAAUAUUAUUAGUAUAGUGUUCAAUCAAGUAGGAAGGGGUUUAGAAAAUGCAACAAGUUGAUAAAAAUGAUUGACUUUUUAUUUCUUUUUAGAAUUCCUGACUCUUAUCAUAACUGUGCAUUUUGAAAUUGAUGUUCUAACAACCAAUAGUGGUUAAAAUAUACUAUCCACUUAAUUACAUUCAAUUAUGGUUAUAGUAGCAUGUCUCAUUCAAAGAACCAGAUCUACAUGGAUGCAUACUUAAAACUUAUUUAUCAAUUUACUUCACAUAUUCUUCCCAAUAACAACAGACAGUAACGACCAGAGAGGAAGUAAGAUACUAGCUUAGAAAGGAAAAUACAUUUCCCAGAGCUGAGCAAAUCCAGAGAAGAUUUCAGGGUAAAACCCUCAAAGGAUUUAUAUGUGUGUGAUGGAAGCAGGGGAAAGUACUAAAUGGUGUAUUUGUGUUUGAUGUUUCAAAAAUAUUUAAAAUUUAGACCAGUG